rnacentral:lncRNA from 1 species
UGUUGUAGCAGGACAUAGCAAAAUGAUAAAGAAGCUAACAAUCACACAGAAGGAAGCUUAAAAAGUAAAGAAUCACUCACAAAGAAUGACAAAUAAGGGCAAUAACACCAGAAGUAAGCAACAGGAAAUAAGCAUUUAACUAGUAGAAAGUGUUUAACAAUUACAUAAGCCAAGACAUAUAUUGUGCAACUAAUCUGAA